UACGAAGGGUGCAAACGUUGCUCGGAAUCAUUGGGCGUAAAGCGCACGUAGGCGGCUUCGCAAGUCGGAUGUGAAAUCCCUCGGCUCAACCGAGGACGUGCACCCGAAACUGCGGAGCUUGAGUACUGAAGAGGAUCGCGGAAUUCCCGGUGUAGAGGUGAAAUUCGUAGAUAUCGGGAGGAACACCAGUGGCGAAGGCGGCGAUCUGGGCAGAUACUGACGCUGAGGUGCGAAAGCGUGGGGAGCAAACAGG
rnacentral:rRNA from 1 species